GGUGGUACAGUGGUUAAACGCUUAGCUGCUAACUAAAAGGUUGGUGGUUCAAACCCACCAGCCA
rfam:Loxodonta africana unplaced genomic scaffold scaffold_1, whole genome shotgun sequence.